rnacentral:rRNA from 1 species
UACGUAGGUGGCAAGCGUUGUCCGGAUUUACUGGGCGUAAAGAGCGCGCAGGCGGUCGUAUAAGUCGAAUGUGAAAGCCCCCGGCUCAACUGGGGAGGGUCAUUCGAUACUGUUCGACUCGAAGGCAGGAGAGGGAAGUGGAAUUCCGGGUGUAGUGGUGAAAUUCGUAGAUAUUCGCAAGAACACCGGUGGCGAAGGCGGCCUGCUGGGCUAUGGCUGACACUGAGGCGCGACAGCGUGGGGAGCAAACAGG